rnacentral:lncRNA from 1 species
GCAUACUUGUAUAUCCUAUUUGUGAGUACCUCUGGUUGUGCUAUGUGAGAUGCCGCCUCAACGUGGCCUGGUGAAUGGUGCCGUGGCUGCACCCAGGAUCUAAACCCUGGAAACCCUGGGCCACCAAAGUGGAAAGCACGAAGUAAUCCUCAGGUACCUGGCCUCAAGAAGCCAACGGUUUGCAACUUGGAAGAGGAUCCUCAUCAGAACUGUACCAUGCUGGCACCUGAAUCUCAGACUUCCAGCCUCCAGAACUGUGAG